rnacentral:lncRNA from 1 species
UACCAUGAGGAUAACACCAAGCCAUGAGAGAUCCGCCCUCAUGACCCAAAUGCCUCCUGCCAGUCCCCACCUCCAACAGUGGGGAUUACAUUUCAACGUGAUAUUUGGGCGCAGAGCCCUCAGAGCGCGAGUGACAGCAAAGCAGGCUCUGUGAUGCACAUGACCCGCCUGCCUGCUGUGUCGAACUGGCAGUGAGCCCCUUUCCAAGUGCAUGAACAGUUAAAAUAUGCAGCGCUUUGAAAGUCACCGUGUUUCUUACAACUUUCAGAGUAGUUAAACAUAUUGAUACAAAUGGAAUCCUGCCUCUCCAUAAUUAAUGAGCUUUCACCAACCUGGCUUCUUGGAAACAGCCAUCCUGUCUCUGUUUAACGUCCAGCAUAAAGUCUUCUCACCACAGUUAGUUGAAAUAGCUCAUAAGAGUAAAGUAUUGUUGU